AGUAAGGUAAGCUAACAUAAAGCUAGUGGGCCCAUAACCCAAAAAUGAUGUAUUUCCCCUACUG
rnacentral:tRNA from 1 species